UGGGGAAUUUUGGACAAUGGGCGAAAGCCUGAUCCAGCAAUGCCGCGUGUGUGAAGAAGGCCUUCGGGUUGUAAAGCACUUUUGUCCGGAAAGAAAUCCUUGGCUCUAAUACAGUCGGGGGAUGACGGUACCGGAAGAAUAAGCACCGGCUAACUACGUGCCAGCAGCCGCGGUAAUACGUAAGGUGCAAGCGUUAAUCGGAAUUACUGGGCGUAAAGCGUGCGCAGGCGGUUUGCUAAGACCGAUGUGAAAUCCCCGGGCUCAACCUGGGAACUGCAUUGGUGACUGGCAGGCUAGAGUAUGGCAGAGGGGGGUAGAAUUCCACGUGUAGCAGUGAAAUGCGUAGAGAUGUGGAGGAAUACCGAUGGCGAAGGCAGCCCCCUGGGCCAAUACUGACGCUCAUGCACGAAAGCGUGGGGAGCAAACAGGAUUAGAUACCCUGGUAGUCCACGCCCUAAAACGAUGUCAACUAGUUGUUGGGGAUUCAUUUCCUUAGUAACGUAGCUAACGCGUGAAGUUGACCGCCUGGGGAGUACGGUCGCAAGAUUAAAACUCAAAUGAAUUGACGGGGUCAUAGCUGUUUCCU
rnacentral:rRNA from 1 species